AUUGAACGCUGGCGGCAGGCCUAACACAUGCAAGUCGAGCGGAUAAAGGGAGCUUGCUCCUGGAUUCAGCGUCGGACGGGGGUGUAAUGCCUAUGAAUCUGCCUCGUAGUGGUUUAUAACGUCCGCAGACAGGCGCUAAUACCACAUACGUCCUGAUGCUGAAGGUUGGGGGUCUUCGGACCUCACGCUCUCAGAUGAGCCUAGGCCGGAUUAGCUAGUUGGUGGGUUAAAGGCCUGCCAAGGCGACGAUCCGUAACUGGCCUGAGAGGAUGAUCAGUCACUCUGGAAGUGAGACACGGUACAGACUCCUACGGGAGGCCGAAGUGGGGAAUAGUGGACACUGGGCGAAAGCCUGAUCCAGCCAUGGAGCGUGUGUGAAGAAGGUCUGCGGAUUGUAAAGCAGUCUAAGGUGGGAGGAAGGGCAGUAAGUUAAUACAUGGCUGUUUUGCCGUACCAACAGAAGAAGCACCGGCUAACUUCGUG
rnacentral:rRNA from 1 species